rnacentral:tRNA from 1 species
CGCCGACGUCGCCGGGUUCGCAGCCGGCCCGCUGCUGUCGGUCCUGCUGCUCGACCCCUUCGGGAUCGGGGCGCCGUUCCUCGCGAUCGCGGC